ensembl:lncRNA
GGUGAUGGGGUGAUGGUGGUGAUGGUGGUGAUGGUGGUGAUAAGGUGAUGGUGGUGAUAAGGUGAUGGUGGUGGUAAGGUGAUGGUGGUGAUAAGGUGAUGGUGGUGAUAAGGUGAUGGUGGUGAUGGGGGAUGGUGGUGAUGGUGGUGAUAAGGUGAUGGUGGUGAUAAGGUGAUGGUGGUGAUAAGGUGAUGGUGGUGAUGGGGUGAUGGUGGUGAUGGUGGUGAUAAUGUGAUGGUGAUAAUGUGAUGGUGGUGAUGGUGGUGAUGGCGGUGAUAAGGUGAUGGUGGUGAUGGGGUGAUGGUGGUGAUGGUGGUGAUGGGGUGAGGGAGGUGAUGGUGAUGAUAAGGUGAUGGUGGUGAUGGUGGUGAUAAGGUGAUGGUGGUGAUGGUGGUGAUAAGGUGAUGGUGGAGGUGGUGAGUUUCUGCAUGUGUAUACAGUACAAUAGACCACGUGUCAUGUGUUUCUUUCAUUUAACAUGUAGCAGGGUGUCACAUGUUCCAUUGUCAUGCUUAGUGUGUGUGUGCGUGUGUGUGUGUGUGUGU